ACUCCUACGGGAGGCAGCAGUGGGGAAUCUUGCGCAAUGGGCGAAAGCCUGACGCAGCCAUGCCGCGUGAAUGAUGAAGGUCUUAGGAUUGUAAAAAUUCUUUCACCGGGGACGAUAAUGACGGUACCCGGAGAAGAAGCCCCGGCUAACUUCGUGCCAGCAGCCGCGGUAAUACGAAGGGGGCUAGCGUUGCUCGGAAUUACUGGGGCGUAAAGGGGAGCGUAGGCGGACUGUUUAGUCAGAGGUGAAAGCCCAGGGGCUCAACCUUGGAAUUGCCUUUGAUACUGGCAGUCUUGAGUACGGAAGAGGUAUGUGGAACUCCGAGUGUAGAGGUGAAAUUCGUAGAUAUUCGGAAGAACACCAGUGGCGAAGGCGACAUACUGGUCCGUUACUGACGCUGAGGCUCGAAAGCGUGGGGAGCAAACAGGAUUAGAUACCCUGGUAGCACAGAG
rnacentral:rRNA from 1 species